UAUUGGUGUGGGAAACAUAUGUUUACAUUGCAAGUGAAAUAGAUGAAAUAGACAACAAAAACUGAACAGUAAACAUUACACUCACAGAAGUUCCAAAGGAAUAGAGACAUUUCAAAUGUCAUAUGUCUAUAUACAGGGUUGUAACGAUGUACAAAUGGUUAAAGUACACAACGGAAAAUAAAUUAGCAUAAAUAUAGGUUGUAUUUACAAUGGUGUUUGUUCUUCACUGGUUUCCCUUUUCUCGUGGCAACAGGUCACAAAUCUUGCUGCUGUGAUGGCACACUGUGGAAUUUCACCCAGUAGAUGUGUGAUGGCACACUGUGGAAUUUCACCCAGUAGAUAUGGGAGUUGAUCAACAUUGGGUUUGUUUGUGGAUCUGUGUUUCUGAGGGAAAUAUGUCUCUAAUAUGGUCAUACAUUGGACAGGAGGUUAGGAAGUGCAGCUCAGUUUCCACAUCAUUUUGUGGGCAGUGUGCACAUAGCCUGUCUUCUCUUGAGAGCCAACAGUGACCUUUCUCAAUAGCAAGGCUAUGCUCACAGUACAUAGUCAAAGCUUCUGUUCAUUUUGGGUCAGUCACAGUGGUCAGGUAUUGUGUACUCUCUGUUUAGGGCCAAAGAGCAUUCUUGUUUGCUCUGUUGUUAAUUCUUUCCAAAGUAAAUAUAUUUUUGUUUUCACAUGAUUUGGUUGAGUCGAAUUGUGUUGCUGUCCUGGGGUUCUGUGGGGUCUGUUUGUGUUUGUGAACAGAGCCCCAGGACCAGCUUGCUUAGGGGACUCUUCUCCAGGUUCAUCUCUCUGUAGGGUGUGUUUGUGAACAGAGCCCCAGGACCAGCUUGCUUAGGGGACUCUUCUCCAGGUUCAUCUCUCUGUAGGGUGUGUUUGUGAACAGAGCCCCAGGACCAGCUUGCUUAGGGGACUCUUCUCCAGGUUCAUCUCUCUGUAGGGUGUGUUUGUGAACAGAGCCCCAGGACCAGCUUGCUUAGGGGACUCUUCUCCAGGUUCAUCUCUCUGUAGGGUGUGUUUGUGAACAGAGCCCCAGGACCAGCUUGCUUAGGGGACUCUUCUCCAGGUUCAUCUCUCUGUAGGGUGUGUUUGUGAACAGAGCCCCAGGACCAGCUUGCUUAGGGGACUCUUCUCCAGGUUCAUCUCUCUGUAGGGUGUGUUUGUGAACAGAGCCCCAGGACCAGCUUGCUUAGGGGACUCUUCUCCAGGUUCAUCUCUCUGUAGGGUGUGUUUGUGAACAGAGCCCCAGGACCAGCUUGCUUAGGGGACUCUUCUCCAGGUUCAUCUCUCUAUGGGGUGUGUUUGUGAACAGAGCCCCAGGACCAGCUUGCUUAGGGGACUCUUCUCCAGGUUCAUCUCUCUGUAGGGUGUGUUUGUGAACAGAGCCCCAGGACCAGCUUGCUUAGGGAACUCUUCUCCAGGUUCAUCUCUCUAUGGGGUGUGUUUGUGAACAGAGCCCCAGGACCAGCUUGCUUAGGGGACUCUUCUCCAGGUUCAUCUCUCUAUGGGGUGUGUUUGUGAACAGAGCCCCAGGACCAGCUUGCUUAGGGGACUCUUCUCCAGGUUCAUCUCUCUGUAGGGUGUGUUUGUGAACAGAGCCCCAGGACCAGCUUGCUUAGGGGACUCUUCUCCAGGCUCAUCUCUCUGUGGGGUCUGUUUGUGUUUGUGAACAGAGCCCCAGGACCAGCUUGCGUAGGGGACUCUUCUCCAGGUUCAUCUCUCUGUAGGGUGUGUUUGUGUUUGUGAACAGAGCCCCAGGACCAGCUUGCUUAGGGAACUCUUCUCCAGGUUCAUCUCUCUGUAGGGUGUGUUUGUGAACAGAGCCCCAGGACCAGCUUGCUUAGGGGACUCUUCUCCAGGUUCAUCUCUCUGUGGGGUCUGUUUGUAUUUGUGAACAGAGCCCCAGGACCAGCUUGCUUAGGGGACUCUUCUCCAGGUUCAUCUCUCUGUAGGGUGUGUUUGUGAACAGAGCCCCAGGACCAGCUUGCUUAGGGGACUCUUCUCCAGGUUCAUCUCUCUGUAGGGUGUGUUUGUGAACAGAGCCCCAGGACCAGCUUGCUUAGGGGACUCUUCUCCAGGUUCAUCUCUCUAUGGGGUGUGUUUGUGAACAGAGCCCCAGGACCAGCUUGCUUAGGGGACUCUUCUCCAGGUUCAUCUCUCUAUGGGGUGUGUUUGUGAACAGAGCCCCAGGACCAGCUUGCUUAGGGGACUCUUCUCCAGGCUCAUCUCUCUGUGGGGUCUGUUUGUAUUUGUGAACAGAGCCCCAGGACCAGCUUGCUUAGGGGACUCUUCUCCAGGUUCAUCUCUCUGUAGGGUGUGUUUGUGAACAGAGCCCCAGGACCAGCUUGCGUAGGGGACUCUUCUCCAGGUUCAUCUCUCUGUAGGGUGUGUUUGUGUUUGUGAACAGAGCCCCAGGACCAGCUUGCUUAGGGAACUCUUCUCCGGGUUCAUCUCUCUGUGGGGUCUGUUUGUGAACAGAGCCCCAGGACCAGCUUGCUUAGGGGACUCUUCUCCAGGAUCAUCUCUCUGUGGGGUGUGUUUGUAUUUGUGAACAGAGCCCCAGGACUAGCUUGCUUAGGGGACUCUUCUCCAGGUUCAUCUCUCUGUGGGGUGUGUUUGUAUUUGUGAACAGAGCCCCAGGACCAGCUUGCUUAGGGGACUCUUCUCCAGGUUCAUCUCUCUGUGGGGUCUGUUUGUAUUUGUGAACAGAGCCCCAGGACCAGCUUGCUUAGGGGACUCUUCUCCAGGUUCAUCUCUCUGUAGGGUGUGUUUGUGAACAGAGCCCCAGGACCAGCUUGCUUAGGGAACUCUUCUCCAGGUUCAUCUCUCUGUGGGGUCUGUUUGUGUUUGUGAACAGAGCCCCAGGACCAGCUUGCGUAGGGGACUCUUCUCCAGGUUCAUCUCUCUGUAGGGUGUGUUUGUGUUUGUGAACAGAGCCCCAGGACCAGCUUGCUUAGGGAACUCUUCUCCAGGUUCAUCUCUCUGUAGGGUGUGUUUGUGAACAGAGCCCCAGGACCAGCUUGCUUAGGGGACUCUUCUCCAGGUUCAUCUCUCUGUAGGGUGUGUUUGUGAACAGAGCCCCAGGACCAGCUUGCUUAGGGGACUCUUAUCCAGGUUCAUCUCUCUGUAGGGUGUGUUUGUGUUUGUGAACAGAGCCCCAGGACCAGCUUGCUUAGGGGACUCUUCUCCAGGUUCAUCUCUCUGUGGGGUCUGUUUGUAUUUGUGAACAGAGCCCCAGGACCAGCUUGCUUAGGGGACUCUUCUCCAGGUUCAUCUCUCUGUAGGGUGUGUUUGUGAACAGAGCCCCAGGACCAGCUUGCUUAGGGGACUCUUCUCCAGGUUCAUCUUUCUAUGGGGUGUGUUUGUGAACAGAGCCCCAGGACCAGCUUGCUUAGGGGACUCUUCUCUAGGUUCAUCUCUCUAUGGGGUGUGUUUGUGAACAGAGCCCCAGGACCAGCUUGCUUAGGGGACUCUUCUCCAGGUUCAUCUCUCUGUAGGGUCUGUUUGUCAACAGAGCCCCAGGACCAGCUUGCUUAGGGGACUCUUCUCCAGGUUCAUCUCUCUAUGGGGUGUGUUUGUGAACAGAGCCCCAGGACCAGCUUGCUUAGGGGACUCUUCUCCAGGCUCAUCUCUCUGUGGGGUCUGUUUGUAUUUGUGAACAGAGCCCCAGGACCAGCUUGCUUAGGGAACUCUUCUCCAGGUUCAUCUCUCUGUAGGGUGUGUUUGUGAACAGAGCCCCAGGACCAGCUUGCGUAGGGGACUCUUCUCCAGGUUCAUCUCUCUGUAGGGUGUGUUUGUGUUUGUGAACAGAGCCCCAGGACCAGCUUGCUUAGGGAACUCUUCUCCGGGUUCAUCUCUCUGUGGGGUCUGUUUGUGAACAGAGCCCCAGGACCAGCUUGCUUAGGGGACUCUUCUCCAGGAUCAUCUCUCUGUGGGGUGUGUUUGUAUUUGUGAACAGAGCCCCAGGACUAGCUUGCUUAGGGGACUCUUCUCCAGGUUCAUCUCUCUGUGGGGUGUGUUUGUAUUUGUGAACAGAGCCCCAGGACCAGCUUGC